AACGAACGCUGGCGGCAUGCCUAACACAUGCAAGUCGAACGAGACCUUCGGGUCUAGUGGCGCACGGGUGCGUAACGCGUGGGAACCUGCCCUUAGGUUCGGAAUAACUCCCCGAAAGGGGUGCUAAUACCGGAUAAUGUCUUCGGACCAAAGAUUUAUCGCCUUUGGAUGGGCCCGCGUUGGAUUAGCUAGUUGGUAGGGUAAAAGCCUACCAAGGCGACGAUCCAUAGCUGGUCUGAGAGGAUGAUCAGCCACACUGGGACUGAGACACGACCCAGACUCCUACGGGAGGCAGCAGUGGGGAAUAUUGGACAAUGGGCGAAGGCCUGAUCCAGCAAUGCCGCGUGAGUGAUGAAGGCCUUAGGGUUGUAAAGCUCUUUUACCCGGGAUGAUAAUGACAGUACCGGGAGAAUAAGCUCCGGCUAACUCCGUG
rnacentral:rRNA from 1 species